UUGCUUUGGCUUCAAAUACACUAAAAUUGGGACAAUACAGAGAAGAUUAGCAUGGCCCCUUUGUAAGGAUGACACAAAAAUCCAUGAAGCAUUCUGUAUUUUU